rnacentral:rRNA from 1 species
UGGGGAAUUUUGGACAAUGGGCGAAAGCCUGAUCCAGCAAUGCCGCGUGUGUGAAGAGGCCUUCGGGUUGUAAAGCACUUUUGUCCGGAAAGAAAUCCUUGGCUCUAAUACAGUCGGGGGAUGACGGUACCGGAAGAAUAAGCACCGGCUAACUACGUGCCAGCAGCCGCGGUAAUACGUAGGGUGCAAGCGUUAAUCGGAAUUACUGGGCGUAAAGCGUGCGCAGGCGGUUUGCUAAGACCGAUGUGAAAUCCCCGGGCUCAACCUGGGAACUGCAUUGGUGACUGGCAGGCUAGAGUAUGGCAGAGGGGGGUAGAAUUCCACGUGUAGCAGUGAAAUGCGUAGAGAUGUGGAGGAAUACCGAUAGCGAAGGCAGCCCCCUGGGCCAAUACUGACGCUCAUGCACGAAAGCGUGGGGAGCAAACAGGAUUAGAUACCCUGGUAGUCCACGCCCUAAACGAUGUCAACUAGUUGUUGGGGAUUCAUUUCCUUAGUAACGUAGCUAACGCGUGAAGUUGACCGCCUGGGGAGUACGGUCGCAAGAUUAAAACUUCAAAUGAAUUG